GAGCACACCCCUAAGUGCGUGGAGAGGCAAGCACAGGUGGUCAGCACACAGGGACAGUGACGGAGCUCCUGCCGCCUUCUCAGCACCAGGUGCUGUGCAGCAUGGAGACCCAGGUGACCUUAAAACACCCCAGGGCCGGCUCCAGCCCCAGAGAUGUCAGGGUGGUCUGAGUAGAGAGAGGGGUCAGCAGUGACCUGGUGGGCGGGUGUAUUUGAGGGGUGCCUGUGUUGAAAGCUCUGCAGUAGAUUCUAAGGCGCAGCCAGGGCUGAGACCCCCGGUUCUGAGCCCAAGGCCCCUUUCCUUCCCGCAGGAAUUCAUCUUGGCUCUUGCAGCCCCCAUGACCCUAUGACGCUGGGGGGCGGGUAGCAUGAUGCUCCCCAUUUUUCAGGAGGGAAGCUGAGGCUCAGAGACAUCAUGAGGAUGCCAGCUCAAGGCCCAGCCAGGCCUUGGUCCUCAGCUGCUGUCAUCCAGUAGGGCCUCGUCCUCUGCCGAAGUGGUCUCUUCCCCACGUGUCCCUGAGACUCCUCAGCCAUCCCAGAGGCUCUCGGCCAUCUGAGCACCCCCGACCGUGGAGCCUUCCUGACCCGCUCUCUGUGUGUGAGGCAGAGCCCAUCCCUGCCAGGACCCAGGACCCACACCAGAGGCUCCGGAAGGUUUGCUGACUGACCUGUGACUGCAAGAAACUGAAGGAAUGUGGGCGCAGGCCCGGCAGGGGCUUUGCUUGGUGCAAAGUCAACUGGCUGUCCAUGCAAGCCUGCUGCUGUGGCCAGCCCUCCUGCCAGGCACCUGGUACCCUCCCUGGACCCAGUUGCCAGGACAGUGAUCCCCAGCUGUGGCCAGGACUCUGCCCGGGGCCCUGUCUACUCAGUGUCUCCAGCGGUCCCCAUGCAGAAACUGUCCCUCUUGCUGCCCAUGAGGCAUGGGAUAGGGUCAGCAUCCGAGAGGCAGGCCCUGCUGUUCCCCUCUGCACAGAGGCCGGGGGAGUGAGUUGCCCGGGCAAGUCCCCGGGCAGGCACUGGGCCUUCUGAGUAGGUGAGCUGAGAAGGCCCCAGCUGGUGUAGGCCUCGAGGGCUGCAGGACUGGCCAUGGGGCAGACCUGGCAUUGUCAUUCUAGAGCUGGGCUGGGGGGGUGGCUGGUGCAGUGCAGAUCUCAGGUGGAGGCCACCUGCCAGUCCUUUCCAUGUGGCUCAGGGCUCAGACCCACCUGCCUGUCUCUGGAAGCCCCUAGACUGCUCAGAGCACAGACCUCAAUGGGAAAGACAGUAGAUAGGCCUGGGUAUGGUCUCCCAGCCCUGAGAAGUGGGGAGAACACUCAGACCUUUCCAGGACCCAGGUCCCCUCAGCAGCCCACAGAGCAUAGGUGGAGCUUGGGCUGGGGUUGGGUCACUUGGGGGCCAAAGGCUCAUUUCUGCUGCUUCCAGGGACUCCCAGGGAGACGGCAGAGGCAGUGCCUGGCUGGGGCCCUGGUGGGCACGCCAUUUGGGGGGUGCAUGCACUGGGAAGUUGGCCAGGCCUGCCCAAAUCAGGGGGCUUCCAGGAGGACAGACAUCAGGAGGGUGGGCACAGAGGCGGCUUAGCACCAGGGCUGGCACCUCCAGGCAGGGGCUGUUGGGGGCUGGACCAGACAGGGAGGCUGUCACGAUGCCUGGCUGUUGGAUGGGGGCACUGAGGCUCUGAGUGGGGUGGCAGAGCUUGGCCACCAGGUCCAUCUGCAACCCCCAUACCCCCUCACUACCCCCAGACCCCCAUGAUCCCAAACUACUCAGUCCCAGGGACCCCUGCAGAGCCUGCGGUGGGGGGGAACUUCCACCCUGUCUGGCCCCUGCCCACCUCACCUCAGAACUGUCUCCAAAAAGUAAGAGCCCCGGGGGACGAAACUUCGAGGCUCCACCCCUUGGGCUCUGGUACAAACCCCGAGCCUCCUCCGAGGGCUGAGUCACUGGGAAAGCCGGGAUGGGCUGGCCUCCCCCUCCCUCUCCUUCCUUCCUCCUUCCCCCUUUCUCGGUCUCGCUCUUUUUCUCUUUGCUUUACUUCUCUUUCUUCCCUCCCUCUCUCCCUCUCUUCUUUCCUUCCUUUCAUCUUCUUCCCUUCCUCCGUCUUUGCCUUUCUUCUUUUCUGGGGGUAAAAAUAGCUGGAAACCCCCCUUAAAAAAAGUUUAUUUUAAUCUUAGAGGGACGAUGUUGGUGUCCCAAAGCACAGUCCUUUGCCCCGGAGGAGCCACCAGCAGAGCCAGGAGCCCCCGAAGGACUUUGACCACACCCCCCACCCCACCCCGACCUGUGCGUGGUGCCCCGAGUGGAGCCCGGGCCAUCCUUGACCUCACCGCUGGGGUGAUGGAGAAGCUGCUGCCCGAGGCGAGAGUUUCUCAGGUGGCCGGGGUUUCCCCCCAUUUGCUCUAGACACAUUUAAACAAGCUGAGAACUUCCGUCCCCCCACACUCCCCCCGCGGACCCCCAUGGACCCCUCUGCAUAUGAACAUGGGCCUGGAAAUUGGGGUGUGGGUUACAGAGAGCAUGGGGAAUUCUGCUUGUGAAGUGACACGGAGCAUGAAUAUGAGCAGGUACCGCACAUCUGCGAGCUAUUUUCGGGUCUCCGGGGGAAGGCAAAAAGCCCUAACAAGCCUUAAGUAAGACCAGGACUCUUCUAUAUUUUUGCUUUGACAGCUAAGGAAAAAAAUCUGCCAAAAACCAGAGGCGCUGCUGAGUGUUGGCGUGGGAAUGUUAGUUUAGUCAGAGCCUUGCUCUGGGCCAUUUAAAUAAAAACAGGCAUGUUGGUGGCAAAUGCCAGUUGAACACGCGGGACAGCGGUGCUUCUGGGGCCCGGAGAAGGGUUUGCAGCUGCACUCGCUCUUCCCUUUUUUCUUGGCCUCCCCAGCCUUCUUAUCAUCACGAUCAGCAUUUCACUGGUAAACAUUUGAUGCAAUAAUUUUCAAAAAUCAGCAAGGAAAGUCUGAGCGUUUAAUGUGGCUGUGACUGCACGGCCCCAGCUGGAAGCGUGGAUUCCCAGUGCCUCCCAGAGCCUGUCUCCGAGGGAAGCGUGGAUUCCCAGUGCCUCCCAGAGCCUGUCUCCGAGGGAAGCGUGGAUUCCCAGUGCCUCCCAGAGCCUGUCUCCGAGGGAAGCGUGGAUUCCCAGUGCCUCCCAGAGCCUGUCUCCGAGGGAAGCGUGGAUUCCCAGUGCCUCCCAGAGCCUGUCUCCGAGGGAAGCGUGGAUUCCCAGUGCCUCCCAGAGCCUGUCUCCGAGGGAAGCGUGGAUUCCCAGUGCCUCCCAGAGCCUGUCUCCGAGGGAAGCGUGGAUUCCCAGUGCCUCCCAGAGCCUGUCUCCGAGGGAAGCGUGGAUUCCCAGUGCCUCCCAGAGCCUGUCUCCGAGGGAAGCGUGGAUUCCCAGUGCCUCCCAGAGCCUGUCUCCGAGGGAAGCGUGGAUUCCCAGUGCCUCCCAGAGCCUGUCUCCGAGGGAAGCGUGGAUUCCCAGUGCCUCCCAGAGCCUGUCUCCGAGGGAAGCGUGGAUUCCCAGUGCCUCCCAGAGCCUGUCUCCGAGGGAAGCGUGGAUUCCCAGUGCCUCCCAGAGCCUGUCUCCGAGGGAAGCGUGGAUUCCCAGUGCCUCCCAGAGCCUGUCUCCGAGGGAAGCGUGGAUUCCCAGUGCCUCCCAGAGCCUGUCUCCGAGGGAAGCGUGGAUUCCCAGUGCCUCCCAGAGCCUGUCUCCGAGGGAAGCGUGGAUUCCCAGUGCCUCCCAGAGUCUGUCUCCGAGGGAAGCGUGGAUUCCCAGUGCCUCCCAGAGCCUGUCUCCGAGGGAUACUCCAGUCACUUGAGGGCCUUUGCACAACAUGAAUCAGACCGACUAUCUCUAGAGUGGAGAGGGGGAUAAACCCACUUGCAGCAAGUGAAGGCCAGAGGCUGCCCUGGGAUGGCAUUGCCUGUUCCCAGGGGCUUGUGGUGGUGGAGCAGACAUGGGGACCCCGCAGCCCCCUCCCCUCCUUGCUGGGGAUGCCACACAGACCCACGUUCAGGGACUUGAAUUCAGAGCCUGCCCCAGGGGUGGCGAAUGUAUCUGGGACACUGAGUGCCCACCUACCGGGUGCGUCUCGUGGCCUUUCGGUCUUUUCUUUUGAGACGGAGUCUCACUUCGUCGCCCAGGCUGGAGUGUAAUGGCGUGCUCUCUGCUCACUACCAGCUCCGCCUCCCGGGUUCAAGCAAUUCUCCUGUCUCAGCCUCCGAGUAGCUGGGAUUACAGGUGUGCGACACCACGCCAGCUAAUUUUUGUAUUUUUAGUAGAGAUAGGGUUUCACCAUAUGGUCAGGCUGGUCUUGAACUCCUGACCUUGGGUGAUCUGCCCACCUUGGCCUCCCGAAGUGUUGGGAUUACAGGCGUGAGCCACCGCACCUGGCCAGCCUUUCGGUCUUGAAGGGUCUCUGGGAGGGCCUCAGAGAAUGCCUUGGUUUCCUCACUCUUGGAUUCCCAUCGACUGAGGUCAGGGCUGGGAAGGGGUGAUGAGCCCAGGACUCUUCUGGCGAGGGUGAGGGUCCGUGUUGGGGGGCUCCCUUCUGCCACCUCUCCUUGGUGACAUGGAGCUGGCUGGAGAGUCCCUCCAUGCCCGGGAGUCCCUCAGUGUGGGGGGGGGAAGGGGGCCACUGCAAUGAAUCUGACACCAGACCCCUCUCUCUCCACCCUGCUGGCAGCCCUCAUUCAUACGGGGGGUGGGGGGCGGGGUCUAUCCUCCUUUCCCCAAAGCUGGGGGUCCUGAGUGUGGUUGGAGUAACGUCUGGUCCUCCUUAGAACAGUGGGGCUUGGAAUUCAUUCAAGGGAAGAAGAGUGAAGGAACGCAGAUGCCAACUGCAUGGAGCCCCCCCCGGGCUGCAGCUCCUAGAGCCUGGGAGCUCUGUGAGCCAGAAAGAGAACAGCUGGGGAGAGGGCUGUGUGAGGCCCUGUUCUUCCAAGACCGCUGCGGAGGACCGACGGGGCCCAGAGACCCUGACUGAGGUGUGCUGAGCACAGCAGCUCUGGACAGGCCGCACCGGCCUCUCUGUCGUCUGUCUGUCAUCUGUCCAUCUGUUGGUGGGCAGGAACAGACCUGAUACUGUGAGAAGAGGCCCCCUGGGCUCUGCGUCUCCCAUUGGCUGAGCCUGGACUGCAGACCCAGCCGCCCUCACGCUGGGCACAGAUGACCAACUUAGGUUUUGAGAAGAUCCAAACAGCAGCAGGACGUGAGCCUGGUAGGGGUAUGAGGGCCUCCCCUGGACUCAAAAGUGUAUUCGCAGAGCCCCUUCCCUGCAGUGUAGGCUCUGGGGGACAGUGGCUGGGAUGGAGGCCCUCGUGGAAGGAGGGAGACGUGAACAGCGAGCCUCCUGCAUGCAGGCCUCUGGGGAAGAACAUUCCAGCCAAGUGGCUCUGAGCACACCCAACCCCGGCCAUCCUGGCCCUGUGGACCAACCCUGGGGCCCAGGAUUAAUGACAGCCAGUGCUCGCUGGUGCCUCCAGCCUGGGCCAGGCCUGUGGGCCCGUCCCUUCAAUGAUGGGGCAAGCCUAGCCCCAUCCACACCCUUCUCCUCCUCCUCUGUGCUUCCCUCCACCCCCAGGAGUGGGCUCCAGGUCUGUCACUCGUCACUCAUGGGGGGCUGUGGGUUGACUCGUGUUCCCCUAAAAGACAGCUGGAUACCCCCAGAGCUUGUGAGCAGGACUUGUUUUGGAGAUGGGUCUUUGCAGAUGUUGUCGAGUUAAGACAAGGCCACGCUGGAGUGGGGCCCGCCCUAAUCCAAUGACUGGGUCCCUUGGCAGGAGAGGGAGAUUUGGGGAGAAGGCCCUGGGAAGACAGGCAGAGGCUGGAGACAGUGCAGCCCCAAGCUGGGAGCACAGGGGUUGCUGGCACCCAGCAGAAGCUGGAGGAGGCUGGAAGGAUCCUCCCUAGAGCCUUGGGAGGGGGCCCGGUCCUGUGACACCCAGAUUUUGGAUUUCUGGCCUUCGGAACUGAGAGAGCACACAUUUCUACGGUUUGAAGCCACCAAAUUUAUGGUAAUUUGUUCUGGCCAGGAAAUUAAUACCAGGGAUAAAGGUGUUUUAAUGCA